rnacentral:lncRNA from 1 species
GUUUGGUUUAGGAUUUAGGAUUUGGUUUAGGGUUUAAGAUUUAGUUAAGUUUGAUUUAGGAUUUAGGAUUUGGUUUAGGAUUUGUUUAGAGUUUGAUUUAGUGUUUGGUUUAGGAUUUAGGAUUUGGUUUAAGAUUUAGGAUUUAAUUUAAAAUUUAGUAUUUUAUUAGGAUUUGUUUAGGAUUUAAGAUUUAAUUAGUUUUGGCCUAAAAUUUGAAUGAAGUCCAAUAGGAUUUGAACUAGGAUUAAAUUAAGAUUGAAUUGAGAUAUAUUUGAGAUAUAUUUGUAAUCAUUCUAAUAUUAUUUUAAGAU